CAGCAGCUAGCACCUAACACAACGAGAAUAAUAUACCACCAACCUAGAAAGUCCACUUCCAGAUCUUGACGCGGACUCUGACCUUGCACGAGUGCGCCGCCGUGCUCACCGUCGCCGCCGUCCUCGUCGUCGCCGCGUCCGCAGCCGGCGCCGGCGCCGGCGCGAGUGCUACGGUGCUGUUCUUCCCCUUCACCCUCUUCGGCGCCGGCGCCGGCGCCGGCGGGGGAGGCGUCACCUUGAUGCCCUCGCAGUGGACCUGGAUGCCGAUCUUCUUCGUCUUGAGCCCGCCCACCCUGACGCCGGCGCUGGUGUCCGCGUCCACCACCACUGAGAACGCGCCGGACCUCUU
rnacentral:lncRNA from 1 species